ACAAAUACAUGGUCCUGAGAAAACAUCAGACUAAAGCAAGAAGUACUUUACAAAUUAACACUCCAGUACUCUGGAGAAAUAUCAAGGUUAUGAAAGACAAAGGUCAAUGAAAGAACCUUUCCAGAUUAAAGGAAAAUAGGAAUCCAGGACAACAAAAUGAAUCCUCGUCUUACAUUAGAUCCUGGGGUGAGCAUUUGCUGCAACACAGGGUGAAUUUUUACUUCUAUUGCCUUGAGGACAUUCAUUGGAAACAUCAUGUUGCACUUGAUGGAGACUCUCCUGAUGAAAAGGCAUCUUUAUGGUAAGAUAAUCUGGCAUAUAAGUAAAUCCCACCGGCUCACAACUUUGUAAGGUGCUGAAGAGGAUGAAGCUCCUUAUCCCUGGAAGACCAGUGUGUUUUUUUACGGAAUGUCUAAAGCUUCAUGACCCAAGAAUACCUUUCUCAAGGAGCCAGGAGAUACUUCUUCGAAAUGCAAUCUUCAAGCGAGACAGAACCCCACGUGUAUCUCCAGUUUCUUUGGGAAAGUAUGCGUCUCCCUCCUGUCAGAGCUCUAUGAGAAAGUUUACUUUCUCCUGGGUAAAGCUAGUUAGUAAACACAGAUGACCUGCGUUCUCUGUCUCACCCCCAUACUUAGAACUUCCCUGCCCUUCAAUUCCACAGAGUUGAGUUCAUUCGGAGUUCUGGCCUCUACCCUAUUGAAAUGGCCUUGAGUAGAGUCUUCCUUGUGUGUUUA